UACGAAGGGGGCUAGCGUUGCUCGGAAUCACUGGGCGUAAAGGGUGCGUAGGCGGGUCUUUAAGUCAGGGGUGAAAUCCUGGAGCUCAACUCCAGAACUGCCUUUGAUACUGGCGAUCCUUCGAGUCCGGGAGAGGUGAGUGGAACUGCGAGUGUAGAGGUGAAAUUCGUAGAUAUUCGCAAGAACACCAGUGGCGAAGGCGGCUCACUGGCCCGGUACUGACGCUGAGGUGCGAAAGCGUGGGGAGCAAACAGG
rnacentral:rRNA from 1 species